UAUGACCGAUCAAGCGUACCAACUUAAAAACAAUGAUAGUUUGUGUAAUGUCACCGAUAGAACACCUUUUGGCGAAGAUAUAUGUUAUCUGUGGUUAAAUUAUUUUCUCUAAUCUAUGUCAUGCUUACCGCUAAUCCGCUCUGUUCGCGAAAGAAUGGCAGAUCCGUUUUUGUUUUCUAUAAGCUCGUCAUUAAUUACGCGAUCUACAAUUAGAAUUAUUUAAAUAUUUGUUUUAUUUUAAUCGGCUUAAACAAACGACAGGCAAUUCGGCGCCGACGCCGGUCAUGUGCCGUCCAUAUUCGCCAUUUUGUCAUUUGUCCUUUAAGUAAGAAAAUGCAAACAAAACAUUAUUUGCCCUAAACACGCGUUACUCUCAAAUAAUAUUGCCGAAUGCCGACAAAGUGAUCUUGUUUUAUCAAACUGAACUCCGAACUGCAAUUGCAAUGUAAUUUUCCGAUAGCGAAAGUGAGGUUAUGAAAUUGACAUGACAUUUAGUGAAUGCAAUGCAAUGGACAUGUGUUUUGUUGUUUUUCUCAUCAAGAUAAUAGAAGAAUCUAGUGCUCAUACUCAUGAUCUAAUGAGCAAACAGCCCAUGCAAAGGAUGUCUUAUCGGGCUAUGCCUCAAUUGAUAAAGUGAACUAAUUGCCUACUUCAAAAGCAGUUUUGCAUGAAAGUCAACAUCUAAUUGGAAUUUACAAUGCCCGAUAUUUCUACACAUCUGCCACAAAUUUUAUGGAAAACAAUAUUUAUAGAAACUGAACAUACCUUGGUUAAACGUAUAUGAAAUGGGUAACCAUCCUCGAAGAACAUCAACCAGCUGUCGGCAAUGUGCAGGUGGACUGAGGAAUUUUCCGGUGUGUCCUUUAUGGACUGUACUCCGUCUUAGCACUAUCCUCAAGUUUUACCCGAGAGGCCAUGCUUCAGGUUGGACCGUCUUCCAUAUAUCUACUGACUUCAUAUAAAUGAAAGUCUCGCUGAUCUGCACUACCAGCUCGUUCAACGUUACUGAACAACAAAGUAAUCCGACAAUCAGACUGGACCCGGUCAUGUUAGAUACCAGUGGAAGGAGAUGAACAUACAAUUGACUCCGCAUCGAUGCAUGACUUCGCCCGGAACGCGGCAAGAACCAACAAUGGAAGAAAAACUACAGACGUGUUUAUUAACAAUAAAGUUAUUUUUGUUUUUAUGAAAUAGCGAUUGAAUAAAAAUAUUAGGUAUAUGA
rnacentral:lncRNA from 1 species